rnacentral:rRNA from 1 species
CUGGCUCAGGACGAACGCUGGCGGCGUGCCUAAUACAUGCAAGUCGAGCGGACCGACGGGAGCUUGCUCCCUUAGGUCAGCGGCGGACGGGUGAGUAACACGUGGGUAACCUGCCUGUAAGACUGGGAUAACUCCGGGAAACCGGGGCUAAUACCGGAUGCUUGAUUGAACCGCAUGGUUCAAUCAUAAAAGGUGGCUUUCAGCUACCACUUACAGAUGGACCCGCGGCGCAUUAGCUAGUUGGUGAGGUAACGGCUCACCAAGGCGACGAUGCGUAGCCGACCUGAGAGGGUGAUCGGCCACACUGGGACUGAGACACGGCCCAGACUCCUACGGGAGGCAGCAGUAGGGAAUCUUCCGCAAUGGACGAAAGUCUGACGGAGCAACGCCGCGUGAGUGAUGAAGGUUUUCGGAUCGUAAAACUCUGUUGUUAGGGAAGAACAAGUACCGUUCGAAUAGGGCGGUACCUUGACGGUACCUAACCAGAAAGCCACGGCUAACUACGUGCCAGCAGCCGCGGUAAUACGUAGGUGGCAAGCGUUGUCCGGAAUUAUUGGGCGUAAAGCGCGCGCAGGCGGUUUCUUAAGUCUGAUGUGAAAGCCCCCGGCUCAACCGGGGAGGGUCAUUGGAAACUGGGGAACUUGAGUGCAGAAGAGGAGAGUGGAAUUCCACGUGUAGCGGUGAAAUGCGUAGAGAUGUGGAGGAACACCAGUGGCGAAGGCGACUCUCUGGUCUGUAACUGACGCUGA